rnacentral:rRNA from 1 species
AUUGAACGCUGGCGGCAGGCCUAACACAUGCAAGUCGAGCGGAUGAAGGGAGCUUGCUCCUGGAUUCAGCGGCGGACGGGUGAGUAAUGCCUAGGAAUCUGCCUGGCAGUGGGGGAUAACGUCCGGAAACGGGCGCUAAUACCGCAUACGACCUGAGGGAGAAAGUGGGGGAUCUUCGGACCUCACGCUAUCAGAUGAGCCUAGGUCGGAUUAGCUAGUUGGUGGGGUAAAGGCCUACCAAGGCGACGAUCCGUAACUGGUCUGAGAGGAUGAUCAGUCACACUGGAACUGAGACACGGUCCAGACUCCUACGGGAGGCAGCAGUGGGGAAUAUUGGGCAAUGGGCGAAAGCCUGAUCCAGCCAUGCCGCGUGUGUGAAGAAGGUCUUCGGAUUGUAAAGCACUUUAAGUUGGGAGGAAGGGCAGUAAGUUAAUGCCUUGCUGUUUUGACGUUACCAACAGAAUAAGCACCGGCUAACUUCGUG